AACUUCAUUCUAAGGCUAAAUAUUGACGCGAAUUCGAUAAGCAAACAAGUACUGUGAAGGAAAGUUGCAAAGAACUUUGAAGAGAGAGUUCAAGAGAACGUGAAAUCUUUGAAGUGGAAACGGAGAGAGUUAAUAUAGUCUAGUGAAUAAAUGUUAUAAAUAUCGUAUAGAACAAUAUGAUAUAUAAUAACAUGUAUGUCACUAAUGACUACGUUAACAACAUUAAUAGCAGAAUCUGAGUUGAACAUGUUGCCUAUUAUUGUUUUAUAAUAGUGGUGCCUGAUGUUUAACAGCAAAGUUUGUUGCGUUUUAUUAAUGUGUUUAUUAAUUCGAUUGAAUCGAAUCGAUAAGAUCCCAUAAAAGGCGCUGGUUGAUAUAGACAGCAGGACGGUGGCCAUGGAAGUCGGUAUCCAAGGAGUGUGUAACAACUCACCUACCGAAUCUACUAGCCCUGAAAUUGGAUGGCACUUGAGCGAAAGACCUAUACCUAACCAUUGUUGGUAUGUGAGAUGAUUAUAGGUGAUCAAAAACAUGUGUGUGUAUUAUAACUUUUGAUGUGUCUCCCGUCUCCUUACCGUGUUUUGAGCUUCUUUUAUUUUAACGUUUCUUUUAACUCCAUGUAUUACCUUACCGCAAAAAUCCUGCGUUGACCUAUCUGGACACUUGAGCACAUUCUGCCACAAGGUCUCAUCUGUCUUCAAGAACUUUUGAGUUCAUACGCCAACGUCGGGCAGCUAAAGCCGCAGGCAACCACCGGCUAACGUCUGAACCUGCGAAACGCUGCAGAGAAGCCAUAAAAGAUCUUAAAGAGAAAAUAGUAGAAGUGAUUAAUGAUGCAGCUAAGGCUGAUAAAAGCGUUCGCUAUGCUCGUUGAUGCUUCACGAAUCA
rfam:Dictyocaulus viviparus strain HannoverDv2000 D_viviparus-1.0_Cont211.39, whole genome shotgun sequence.